ensembl:lncRNA
AGAUGAUGUUCUAUCCAGCCAGCCAACAAUUCUCAAGCGGAGUGGCUCUAGAAACUCAGCUCUUGAAAACAUCACGGAGCUUUAUCAGUGAUAAGGCCAAGAGGUUGCAACUACUGUUAUCUUUGGACACACAAAAGAAUCACCUGGUCCAGAUCCAGUUCGUGGGAAGUUUCCAACUGCCCAGUCGGAGGUAUCUCCCUUCCACUGGAGACAUCAUGCUAACCAGAGAUCUGAGGUGUUCCAGACUUUCUUCAGCAUGGCAAUAUUUCCUGUCUUUGGCCGAUUUUCCUUGGGCCAAGCUCCUUAGAAGUCUUGGCUUCUCUGCCAAAGAGACCUGGGAUCAUCAGGCAAUAAUCCUCCAAUUUAUUGCCCCUGUUCUACAUUCCUGGUCCAUGACUAUUUGCAGACCUUGGGACCAGCUUUCCAAAACCCAGCAUAAGCUGCUUUAAUUUUAUCAUUGUCCUAUAAUUUCAUGGAAAUGGCUGCUGCAAAGCCAACAAAUGACUAAUAAAAUCCUCAGCCCACUCAUUUUUAAUGUCAUUCUGGAACUCCAGAACAGAGACCAUCUGGUCACAGUGCUUACUUUAAUAUAACAGAGGAGCCGAAUUGAAAAUCAUAUUUCUGAGAGAAUACUGAAACAAGUGAUCGGCUUGUAAACCCAAAGCACAGCACAACAAGUCAAAUGUUUCCUUGAGCAGUGAUAAAAUACUCUAGGUGCUACAUACUCAACUUUGUCUGUAUACACACACACACACAAACAGACACACAUGAUAGACAAACAUCAGUCAACACUCUACUAGUAAUAACUGUUCCAUUCAUUGAGUACUAUCCUUGUGCCGGGCAAUGUACAAAACACCCCAGAUUAUUUUGCAAGAGUACUAUUAGUAUACUCAUUUUUUAGGUGAAAUAAAUAGAAGAUAAGUAAACCUGCUCCAAGUCACACAGCUAAUAAAUAACAAGGCCAGGCUUAGGACCAAUGUUCAUCAGUUUAGUUUCUACACACGUGCCCUGAGCAACUGAGUUAUUUGACUUUGUGUGUGUGUGUGUGUGUGUGUAAAAGUUACCCUGAGCAAUAACUAAUUUUUCAACUAGGUAGAAUAAAUUGUUUUUAAUUUUAAAUUGUUUUAAAUUGUGGAAUAAUGUUAUUUAUUUAUUUUUAUUUUCAUAGGUUAUUGGGGAACAGGUAGUGUUUGGUAUAUGAGUCAGUUUUUUAGUGGCAACUUGUGAGAUUUUGGUGCAUCCACUAUCAGAGCAUUAUACACUGCACCAUAUUUGUAGUCUUUUAUUCUUCACCUUCUUCCCGCCCUUUCCUCCUGAGUCCCCAAGGUCCAUUUUAUCAUUCUUAUGCCUUUGCGUCCUCAUAGCUUAGUUCCCACUUAUGAGUGAGACGACAUGAUGUUUGGUUUUCCAUUCCUGAGUUACUUCACUUAGAGUAAUAGUCUCCAAUAUCAUCCAGGUUGAUGCAAAUGCCAUUAAUUCAUUUUUUAUGGCUGAGUAGUAUUCCAUCGUGUAUGUGUGUGUGUGUAUAUAUAUACACACCAGUUUCUUUAUCCACUCAUUGAUUGAUGGGCAUUUGGGUUGUUUCCACGUUUUUUGCAACUGUGAAUUGUGCUGCUAUAAACAUGCAUGUGGAAGUAUCUUUUUUGUAUAAUGGCUUCUUUUCCUCUGGGUACAUACUCAGUAGUGGGAUUGCUGGAUCAAAUGGUAGUUCUACUUUUAGUUCUUUAAGGAUUCUCCACACUCUAUUCCAUAGUGAUUGUACUAGUUUACAUUCCCACCAGCAGUGUAGAAGUGUUCCCUGUUCACUGCAUCCAUCCCAACAUCUACUAUUUUUUGAUUUUUUGAUUUUUUGAUUAUGGCCAUUGUAGCAGGAGUAAGGUAUCAUAUUGUGAUUUUGAUUUGCCUUUCCCUGAUCAUUAGUGAUGUUGAGCAUUUUUUCAUAAGUUUAUUGGUCAUUUGUACAUCUUCUUUUUGAGAAUUGUCUAUUCAUGUGCUUAGCCCACUUUGAUGGGAUUGUUUGUUUUUUGCUUGUUGAUUUGAGUUUGUUUUAGAUUCUGGAUAUUAUUCCUUUUUCAGAUGUAUAGAUUGUGAAGAUUUUUUUCCACUCUGUGGAUUGUCUGUUUACUCUGCUGACUGUUCCUUUUGCCAUGCAAAAGCUCUUUAGUUUAAGUCCCAGCAAUUUAUAUUUGUUUUUAUUGCAUUGGUUUUUGGUUUCUUUGUUAUGAACUCCUUGCCUAAGCUAAUGUCUAGAAGGGUUUUUCCAAUGUUAUCUUCUAGGAUUUUUAUAGUUUCAGGUCUUAGAUUUAAGUCCUUAAUCCAUCUUGAGUUGAUUUGUGUACAAGGUGAGAGAUGAGGAUCCAGUUUCAGUUUCCUACAUGUGGCUAGCCAAUUAUCCUAGCAUCAUUUGUUGAAAAGGGUGUCCUUUCCCCACUUUAUAUUUUUGUUUGCUUUGUUGAUAAUCAGUUGGCUAUAAGUAUUUGGGUUUAUUUAUGGGUUCUCUAUUCUGUUCCACUGGUCUAUGUGCCUAUUUUUAUGCCAAUGCUAUGCUGUUUUGGUGACUAUGACCUUAUAGUACAGUUUGAAGUUGGGUAAUGUGAUGCCUCCAGAUUUUUUCUUUUUGCUUAGCCUUGCUGUGGCUGUGGGGGCUCUUUUUUUGGUUCCAUAUGAAUUUUAGAAUUGUUUUUUCUAAUUCUGUGAAAAAUUGUGGUGGUAUUUUGAUGGGAAUUGCAUUGAAUUUAUAGAAUGCUAUUGGCAAUAUGGUCAUUUUCACAAUAUUGAUUCUACCUAUCCGUGAGCAUGGGAUGCGUUUCCAUUUGUCUGUGACUUCUAUGAUUUCUUUCAUCAGUGUUUUGUAGUUUUCCUUGUAGAGGUCUUUCACCUCCUUGGCUUGGUAUAUUCCUAAGUAUUUAAUUAUUUUGCAGUUAUUUAAAAAGGGGUUGAGUUUUUCAUUGAUUCUCAGCUUGGUCACUGUUGGUGUAUAGAAGAGCUACUGAUAUGUGUACAUUAAUUUUGUAUCCAGAAACUUUGCUGAAUUCUUUUAUCAGUUCUAGGAGCUUUCUGGAAGAAUCUGUAGGGUUUUCUAGGUAAGUGAUCAUAUCAUUAGCAAACAGUGACAGUUUGACUUCCUCUUUACUGAUUUGGAUGCCCUCUAUUUCUUUCUCUUGUCUGAUUGCUCUGGCUAGGACUUCCAGUACAAAGUUGAAAAGGAGUGGUGAGCAUGGGCAUCCUUGUCUUGUGCCAGUUCUCAGAGGGAAUGCUUUCAACUUUUCCCCAUUCAGUAUGAUGUUUGCUGUGGGUUACAGAUGGUUUUUAUUAUAUUGAGGUAUGUCCCUUGUAUGCCAAGUUUGCUGAGAGUUUUAGUCAUAAAGGGAUGCUGGAUUUUGUAGAAUGCUUUUUCUGCAUCUAUUGAGAUGAUCAUGUGAUUUUUGUUUUUAAUUCUGUUUAUGUGGUGUGUCACAUUUAUUGACUUGGUACGUUAAACCAUCCAUGCAUCCCUGGUAUGAAACCCUCUUAAUUAUGGUGGAUUAUCUUUUUGAUAUGUUGUUGGAUUCAGUUAGCUAGUAUUUUGUCAAGGAUUUUAGCAUCUAUGUUCAUCAAGGAUAUUGGUCUAUAGUUUUCUUUCUUGGUUAUGCCCUUUCCUGGUUUUGGUAUUAGGGUGAUGCUGGCUUUAUAGAAUGAUUUAGGGAGGGUUUCCUCUUUCUCUAUCUUGGGCAAGAGUAUCAAUAGGACUAGUAACAAUUCUUCUUUGAAUGUCUGGUAGAAAUCUGCUGUGAAUCCAUCUGGUCCUGGACUUUUUUUAUUGGUAAUUUUUAAAUUACCAUUUCAAUCUUGCUACUUGUAAUUGGUCAGGGUAUCAAAUUCUUCCUGAUUUAAACUAGGAUGGAUGUAUCUUUCCAGGAAUUUAUCCAUAUCUUCUAAGUUUUCUAGUUUCUGCACAUAAAGGUGUUCAUAAUAGCCUUGAAUGAUCUUUUGUAUUUCUGUGGUGUCAGAUAUAACAAAUCCCAUUUCAUUUCAUUUCUUAGUGAGGUUAUUUGGAAUGUCUCUCCUCUGUUCUUGGUUAAUCUUGUUAAUAGUCUAUCAAUUUUAUUUAUCUUUUGAAAGAAUGAGCUUUUUGUUUCAUUUAUCUUUUGCAUCUUUGUUUGUUUCUUUCAAUUUCAU